GAUAAGAUGGCUGAGUAAGCAUUAGACUGUAAAUCUAAAGACAGAGGACCGCCCUCUUCUUAUCA
rnacentral:tRNA from 1 species